rnacentral:rRNA from 1 species
UACGUAGGGGGCAAGCGUUGUCCGGAUUUAUUGGGCGUAAAGAGCGUGUAGGCGGCUUGGCAAGUCCGCUGUGAAAACUCGAGGCUCAACCUCGAGACGUCGGUGGAAACUGCCUCGCUAGAGUCCGGAAGAGGAGAGUGGAAUUCCUGGUGUAGCGGUGAAAUGCGCAGAUAUCAGGAAGAACACCCGUGGCUAAGGCGGCUCUCUGGGACGGUACUGACGCUGAGACGCGAAAGCGUGGGGAGCGAACAGG